CUGGGAUGAUGCAAAUUAGCCAAAUCAUACGUCGAUGUGCUCCAUAAGGCAUUUUUUUCGAAGCGCUUUGCCAGUCUCUUCCAUGGACUUGGCAAGGCUUUAGAAAUUUGCCUUUUGUAGAAGCGUAUCUAUCUGAUGAUACAAUAGAGAUAGGGUUCCUUGCUGACCGGA